GACGAACGCUGGCGGCGUGCUUAACACAUGCAAGUCGAACGGGGCAAAGUGAUAGCCUGCUAUUAUGGAGCCUAGUGGCAAACGGGUGAGUAACGCGUAGGCAACCUGCCCUUGUCCACCGGAUAACCCGUCGAAAGGCGGACUAACACGGUAUGGAGUCCACAGCAGGCAUCUAACGUGGACGAAAUGUGAAGGAGAAGGAUGGGGAUGCGUCUGAUUAGCUUGUUGGCGGGGUAACGGCCCACCAAGGCGACGAUCAGUAGGGGUUCUGAGAGGAAGGUCCCCCACAUUGGAACUGAGACACGGUCCAAACUCCUACGGGAGGCAGCAGUGAGGAAUAUUGGUCAAUGGGCGAGAGCCUGAACCAGCCAAGUAGCGUGCAGGAAGACGGCCCUAUGGGUUGUAAACUGCUUUUAGUAGGGGAAUAAAGUGAGCCACGUGUGGUUUUUGCAUGUACCCUAUGAAUAAGGACCGGCUAAUUCCGUG
rnacentral:rRNA from 1 species